GGGCUUGGCGCGUGCUACCAUGCAGUCGAACGGUGAACACGGAGCUUGCUCUGUGGGAUCAGUGGCGAACGGGUGAGUAACACGUGAGCAACCUGCCCCUGACUCUGGGAUAAGCGCUGGAAACGGCGUCUAAUACUGGAUACGAACCACGAAGGCAUCUUCAGUGGUUGGAAAGAAUUUCGGUUGGGGAUGGGCUCGCGGCCUAUCAGCUUGUUGGUGAGGUAAUGGCUCACCAAGGCGUCGACGGGUAGCCGGCCUGAGAGGGUGACCGGCCACACUGGGACUGAGACACGGCCCAGACUCCUACGGGAGGCAGCAGUGGGGAAUAUUGCACAAUGGGCGAAAGCCUGAUGCAGCAACGCCGCGUGAGGGAUGACGGCCUUCGGGUUGUAAACCUCUUUUAGCAGGGAAGAAGCGAAAGUGACGGUACCUGCAGAAAAAGCGCCGGCUAACUACGUGCCAGCAGCCGCGGUAAUACGUAGGGCGCAAGCGUUAUCCGGAAUUAUUGGGCGUAAAGAGCUCGUAGGCGGUUUGUCGCGUCUGCUGUGAAAUCCGGAGGCUCAACCUCCGGCCUGCAGUGGGUACGGGCAGACUAGAGUGCGGUAGGGGAGAUUGGAAUUCCUGGUGUAGCGGUGGAAUGCGCAGAUAUCAGGAGGAACACCGAUGGCGAAGGCAGAUCUCUGGGCCGUAACUGACGCUGAGGAGCGAAAGGGUGGGGAGCAAACAGGCUUAGAUACCCUGGUAGUCCACCCCGUAAACGUUGGGAACUAGUUGUGGGGUCCAUUCCACGGAUUCCGUGACGCAGCUAACGCAUUAAGUUCCCCGCCUGGGGAGUACGGCCGCAAGGCUAAAACUCAAAGGAAUUGACGGGGACCCGCACAAGCGGCGGAGCAUGCGGAUUAAUUCGAUGCAACGCGAAGAACCUUACCAAGGCUUGACAUAUACGAGAACGGGCCAGAAAUGGUCAACUCUUUGGACACUCGUAAACAGGUGGUGCAUGGUGUCGUCAGCUCGUGUCGUGAGAUGUUGGGUUAAGUCCCGCACGACGCACCCUCGUUCUAUGUGCCAGCACGUAUGUGGGAACUCAUGGGAUACUGCCGGUCAACUCCGGAGGAAGGUGGGGAUGACGUCCAAAUC
rnacentral:rRNA from 1 species